CAUGCGAAAGGAGUUCUGGGUAAUAACUGAUUACUCAAGAUUUACGGCUCUUUUAAUAUCUGAUCUCCAAAGUCAACCGAUGCGGUCAACACUCUGUCCUAGAUAUUUCAAGCUUUUCUUCUCUGAAACGCUACAUUAUGGCAUCCAGUUUAAAGCUGGAGCUGCUGGGCCAGAGACGGGGCUUCUAUGGCCUGGGGAGUUAGGAGGGGAGCUACUCGUUGUUGCGCUCCCGCGUGGGAUGGUGAAGCCGAAGGCAAAGACAUUUGUAGCUCCUCGAUUUGAGCCGAGAGAUCAGCAAUCUCUUGAGCAACAUUAGAUGUUUGUGAUUUGGAUACCAUUCCGGCGGAUGAGUUCGGAUUGAUAAAAAGCUAAGCGUGCUCUCAGUUGAAUAGGACGGUGAACUGAGCAAUCACAUCACAUGCUUGAGAUUAAAUAUCGUAUAACCUGGCAUUACCAACAUGCCAUUCUGAUUGGUGUACUAAUUGAUCUACGUUAUUAAUUACCCAUUUUGACAGGUCAAAAUUAACAAAUUUCAGACUGAAAUAAACCUUUUAUGAUUUUCAGACUGAAAUAAACCUUUUUUAAAUUUCAGACUGAAAUAAACCUUUUAUGAAUUUCAGACUGAAAUAUAUCAAGAACGCACUCCCACAUGCCUUUCGUCCAAUCAUGCAUCAAACGCCAGUCACGUGUGAACUAAUAAUGUGCCUGGUUGGCCGAGUCUCUUUGUGCAUCGGCCCAACUUUGGCCGUAACAUUCCACAAGCAAUGCUGACUGAAAUACGCAGUGUUCGCACGGGGUGGUUAGCUAUGUUAUCAAUUUAUUC